UAAUCUCGCGACCGAGUAAGAAUAUUUGUGUAAGUAGUGCUAUGAGGAAGAAUGAAGGAGAGUCUCAAUUUCUCAGACCUUGAAGUAGCAGAGUGAAAGCAUGAGUCUUUACAUAGUCGUCUCCGCCACUGUCGUCUUCGCUCUGUCUUUUCUGUCGCUGCCUCUUCUCGAAACCACCCAUUAUUGGUUGAAAUUGAACUCGAGAAGAUUAGUAGCGGAUUUGAUUGUGCGGAAUGGGAUCAUAUACACCAGCGAUGCUUCUCUGCCUUUCGCCGACUCCAUGGCCGUCCACAACGGCAGGAUACUCCGCAUCGGAAACUACUCCUCUAUUCAGGAUUUGGUAGGAGAAGGGACUAAAGAGCUGAAUGUUGAAGGAAAUGUUGUGGUUCCUGGAUUUAUUGAUUCACAUGUACAUUUUAUUUCUGGAGGACUACAGAUGAUGCGGGUGGAUCUUCACGGUGUAAAUACAAAAGAUGAAUUUUUGAGAAGAAUCAGAGAACGGGUCACGAAUUCAAAACAAGGCUCCUGGGUGUUGGGUGGUGGAUGGAAUAAUGAUCUGUGGGGUGGAGAAUUACCAACAGCUUCAUGGAUUGAUGAAAUUACACCCUAUAAUCCUGUUUGGCUUUCAAGAAUGGAUGGUCAUAUGGGCCUGGCUAAUUCUGUGGCACUAAAGUUGGCUGGAAUUAAUAAUAUGUCAAAAGAUCCGAAUGGUGGAACUAUUAUAAAAACUUCUAAUGGAGAUCCUACAGGAUUGCUGAUUGAUGCUGCGAUGCAACUUCUUCUCCCACAGAUUCCAGAGGUCUCAGUCUAUGAAAGGAGGGAAGCUUUACUUAGAGCUAGCAAUCUUGCCUUAAUGAGGGGUGUGACAACAGUUGUUGAUUUUGGAAGAUAUUUUCCUGGAACUUCAAUGGAACACUCCUGGGAGGAUCUUUCAGAUGUGUAUUCCUGGGCCAAUUCUUCAGGGAAGAUGAUGAUCAGAGUUUGCUUAUUUUUCCCGUUAGAGACGUGGUCACGCUUAGUUGAUCUUAUUAGCAAAACAGGGCAUGCGUUGAGCAACUGGAUUUAUUUGGGUGGUGUCAAGGCUUUUGCUGAUGGGUCUUUAGGCUCUAACAGUGCACUCUUUCACGAGCCGUAUGUGGAUGAGCCUCAGAAUUAUGGCCUACAAGUCCUGGAGUUCAAGACACUCUCGAACAUGACUACAGCAUCUGAUAAAUUUGGGCUCCAGGUUGCUAUUCAUGCUAUAGGUGAUAAAGCAAAUGACUUGAUUCUGGAUAUGUUUGAGUCAGUUGCAUCAAAGAACGGAGAAAGGGACCGGAGAUUCAGGGUUGAGCAUGCCCAACAUUUGACACCUGGGGCCGCUGAUCGGUUUGGCGAACAAGGGAUUUUUGCUUCAGUACAGCCAGAGCACCUAUUGGAUGAUGCUGAUUCUGCAAUAAGGAAACUGGGGAUGGAUAGGGCUCAAAAGGGAUCUUAUCUAUUCCGAUCACUUCUAGCCGGACAUGCUCAAUUGGCCUUUGGUUCUGACUGGCCGAUAUCAACCCUUUGGAAAGUAUCAAGACAGCAAUGAAAAGAACUCCACCUGGUUGGGAAAAUGCGUGGAUUCCAUCUGAGUGUAUUUCAUUGGAAGAAGCUUUAAUUGCGCACACUAUGUCAGCUUCUCGCGCUUGCUUUCUUGACCGUGAUCUGGGAUCAUUAACUCCUGGAAAAUUUGCAGAUUUUGUAGUACUGUCGACUAAUUCAUGGGACGACUUUGUAGCUGAUGGUUCUGCAUCAGUGGAUGCAACAUAUGUUGGCGGUGUCCGGGCCUAUCCAUUUUCCUCCAAACCAUAAGCAGCUAUGAACUAACACACUUGGAUCAUGUAGAUGUGUUUGAAAGGGGAAAAAAGAGAGGAGGAUGAGUUGCAGUAUCUCAAAUUGUCAUUAUUAGCCAGUUUAGUUCUUUGCAAGUAUACAACUGUUGCAGAUAUUGAUUUGAAUCUCUCUUAGUCUCUUGUAUAUUCUUCAUUACAUGGGUAUCUUGGAAAACUCAGACAAAUCUCCAAGGAAUCACAUUUUAUGAAAACAGUGCAAUGAUUUAUCUUCAGUCA